rnacentral:rRNA from 1 species
GACGAACGCUGGCGGCGUGCUUAACACAUGCAAGUCGAACGGAAAGGCCCUGCCUUUGUGGGGUGCUCGAGUGGCGAACGGGUGAGUAACACGUGAGUAACCUGCCCUUGACUUUGGGAUAACUUCAGGAAACUGUGGCUAAUACCGGAUAGUAGCUCCUGCUGCAUGGUGUGGGUUGGAAAGUUUCGGUGGCUGGGGUUGGACUCGCGGCUUCUCAGCUUUAUGGUGGGGUAGUGGAUUACCAAGGCGUUGACGGUGAGCCGGACUGAGAGGGUGACAGGGCACAGUGGGACUGAGAUAGGGCCCAGACUGAUACGGGAGGCAGCGGUGGGGAAUAGUGCACGAUGGGCGGAAGCCUGAUGCAGCAACGCCGCGUGCGGGAUGACUGCCUUCGGGUUGUAAACCGCUUUCGCCUGUGACGAAGAGUGAGUGACGGUAAUGGGUAAAGAAGCACCGGCUAACUACGUG